rnacentral:lncRNA from 1 species
CAGAUCAUCCGAGUGAUGCUGGAGUACCUGGAUCAGCGCCUGAAAGCUGCACAGAACAAGUUUGCCAAUUGCGCCUCCCCUCCCACCUCUCCCCUCUCCCCAUCUGAACCUACCGUCCCACUGCCCCUUCACUCUCCCCUACAGGGUGGCCGUCCUGGACAAAGUUACAGACUUCCUCUUCCUGUUGGGCAAACUUCUGAUUGUGGGUAGCGUGGGCAUCCUGGCCUUCUUCUUCUUCACCCAUCGGAUCAGAAUUGUGCAAGACACGGCCCCACCUCUCAAUUAUUAUUGGGUCCCCAUACUGACAGUGAUCAUUGGCUCCUACUUGAUCGCGCACGGCUUCUUCAGCGUCUAUGGCAUGUGCGUGGACACACUGUUCCUCUGUUUCU